rnacentral:rRNA from 1 species
AGAGUUUGAUCCUGGCUCAGGAUGAACGCUAGCGGUGUGCCUUAAGCAUGCAAGUUGAACGGUAAGUUAGUCUUCGGACUAACACAAGUAGCAGACGGGUGAGUACAACACAGGAACUUACCCUCAAGUGGGGAAUAGCCAGUCGAAAGACUGGGUAAUACCGCAUGUGAUCUUCGGAUCAAAGCCUUCGGGCGCUUGGGGAGAGGCCUGUGCCCUAUCAGGUAGUUGGUGAGGUAAUAGCUCACCAAGCCGACAACGGGUAGCCGGUGUGAGAGCACGACCGGCCACAAGGUUACUGAGACACGGAACCUACACCUACGGGUGGCAGCAACUGGGAAUAUUGCGCAAUGGGCGAAAGCCUGACGCAGCGACACCGCGUGUGGGAAGACGCUCUUCGGAGUGUAAACCACUGUGGCAGGGGAACAAUUUUUGAGGGUACCCUGCUAGAAAGCACCUGCUAACUACGUGCCAGAAGCCUCGGUAAUACGUAGGGUGCAAGCGUUAUCCGGAUUUACUGGGCGUAAAGCGUCCUUAGGCGGUAUGGUAAGUGGUGGGUUAAAGACUCUGGCUCAACUAGAGGAAAGCUCGCCAAACUGCCAAACUAGAGCUAGUUCGGGGAUACUGGAAUUCUCGGUGGAGGGGUGAAAUCCGUUGAUAUCGAGAAGAACGCCAAAGACGAAGGUAAGUAUCUAGAACUAUGCUGACGCUCAGGGACGAAAGCUAGGGUAGCAAACUGGAUUAGAGACCCAGGUAGUCCUAGCCGUAAACUAUGAACACUAGCUGGUUGGAUGAAUUUUUGACCGGCGCAAGCUAACGCGUUAAGUGUUCCGCCUGGGGAGUACGGCCGCAAGGCUAAAACUCAAAGGAAUUGAC